AGUGAACGCUGGCGGUAGGCCUAACACAUGCAAGUCGAACGGCAGCACAGUAAGAGCUUGCUCUUACGGGUGGCGAGUGGCGGACGGGUGAGGAAUACAUCGGAAUCUACUUUUUCGUGGGGGAUAACGUAGGGAAACUUACGCUAAUACCGCAUACGACCUACGGGUGAAAGCAGGGGAUCUUCGGACCUUGCGCGAUUGAAUGAGCCGAUGUCGGAUUAGCUAGUUGGCGGGGUAAAGGCCCACCAAGGCGACGAUCCGUAGCUGGUCUGAGAGGAUGAUCAGCCACACUGGAACUGAGACACGGUCCAGACUCCUACGGGAGGCAGCAGUGGGGGAUAUUGGACAAUGGGCGCAAGCCUGAUCCAGCCAUACCGCGUGGGUGAAGAAGGCCUUCGGGUUGUAAAGCCCUUUUGUUGGGAAAGAAAAGCAGCAGGUUAAUACCCCGCUGUUCUGACGGUACCCAAAGAAUAAGCACCGGCUAACUUCG
rnacentral:rRNA from 1 species